rnacentral:rRNA from 1 species
CAUGCAGUCGAACGGGAUAGGUUUUAGCAAUAGAACCUUGAGAGUGGCGCACGGGUGCGUAACACGUAUGCAACCUACCUUUAACUGGGGGAUAGCCUCUCGAAAGAGAGAUUAAUACCCCAUAAUAUAAUUGGAUAGCAUUAUUUGAUUAUUAAAGAUUUAUUGGUUAAAGAUGGGCAUGCGGCUGAUUAGGUAGUUGGUGAGGUAAUGGCUCACCAAGCCGACGAUCAGUAGGGGGUCUGAGAGGAUGUCCCCCCACACUGGUACUGAGACACGGACCAGACUCCUACGGGAGGCAGCAGUAGGGAAUAUUGGUCAAUGGAGGCAACUCUGAACCAGCCAUUCCGCGUGCAGGAAUAAGGCCCUAUGGGUCGUAAACUGCUUUUGUAUGGGAAAAAAUCACUUUAUGUAUAAGGUGUUGAUGGUACCAUGAGAAUAAGGAUCGGCUAACUUCGUGCCAGCAGCCGCGGUAAUACGAAGGAUCCAAGCGUUGUCCGGAUUUACUGGGUUUAAAGGGUGCGUAGGCGGGGAAUUAAGUCAGUGGUGAAAGCUGGUAGCUUAACUAUCAAAUUGCCAUUGAAACUGAUUUUCUCGAGUGCGGUUGAGGUCACUGGAAUGUAUCAUGUAGCGGUGAAAUGCUUAGAUAUGAUACAGAACACCGAUUGCGAAGGCAGGUGACUAAACCGUAACUGACGCUGAGGCACGAAAGCGUGGGGAUCAAACAGGAUUAGAUACCCUGGUAGUCCACGCUGUAAACGUUGCAUACUCGGACUUAGCGAUAUACAGUUAGGGUCCUAAGCGAAAAGCAUUAAGUAUGCCACCUGGGGAGUACGGUCGCAAGAUUGAACCUCAAAGGAAUUGACGGGGGCCCCCACAAGCGGAGGAGCAUGUGGUUUAAUUCCGAUGAUACGCCGAGGAACCUUACCCCGGCCUUGAAAAGUUAGUGACCAUUUUCCCAAAAGGGAAAAUUUCCCCCUCCCGGGGGCAC